rnacentral:rRNA from 1 species
UGAAUACGAGAUGCUACGGCGUCGAAGCAGUCUAUGUCAUACUUCCAAGAAAAGCUUGCACUGUCAUAAACAAAUAAUGCCUGUACCAUAACCGACACAGGUGGGUAGGUAGAGUAUACUAAGGGGCGCGAGAUAACUCUCUCUAAGGAACUCGGCAAAAUGACUCCGUAACUUCGGGAGAAGGAGUGCCUUAUUUUAUAAGGUUGCAAUAACAAGAUCCAAGCAACUGUUUACCAAAAACACAGGUCUCCGCUAAGUCGUAAGACGAUGUAUGGGGGCUGACGCUGCCCAGUGCCAGAAGGUUAAAGAAGUUGGUUAGCAUCCGCGAAGCUGAUAACUGAAGCCCUGGUGAACGGCGGCCGUAACUAUAACGGUCCUAAGGUAGCGAAAUUCCUUGUCGGGUAAGUUCCGACCCGCACGAAAGGCGUAAUGAUUUGGAUACUGUCUCAGAGAGGGGCUCGGUGAAAUAGACUUGUCUGUGAAGAUGCGGACUACCUGCACCAGGACAGAAAGACCCAAUGAAGCUUUACUGUAACUUGAAAUUGAAAUUGGACUUUACUUGCGCAGUAUAGGUGGGAGGCGUUGAUAAUAUUCUUGCGGGAAUGUUGGAGCCAUCAGUGAGAUACCACUCUUGUAAUGUUAGAUUUCUAACUUUGUAUCAUUAUCUGGUCAAAGGACAGUUUCAGGCGGGCAGUUUGGCUGGGGCGGUCGCCUCCCAAACGGUAACGGAGGCGCACAAAGGUUUCCUCUGAACGGGUAGAAAUCGUAUCUAGAGUGUAAAGGCAUAAGGAAGCUUGACUGUGAGACCUACAAGUCGAGCAGGGACGAAAGUCGGUCUUAGUGAUCUGACGGUGCUGAGUGGAAAGGCCGUCACUCAACGGAUAAAAGUUACUCUAGGAUAACAGGCUGAUCUCCCCCAAGAGUUCACAUCGACGGGGAGGUUUGGCACCUCGAUGUCGGCUCAUCGCAUCCUGGGGCGGUAGUACGUCCCAAGGGUUGGGCUGUUCGCCCAUGAAAGCGGUACGCGAGCUGGGUUCAGAACGUCGUGAGACAGUUCGGUCCAUAUCCGGUGUAGGCGUUAGAAUAUUGAGAGGAGCCUUCUUUAGUACGAGAGGACCGAGAAGGACAUACCUCUGGUGUACCAGUUAUCGUGCCAACGGUAAACGCUGGGUAGCUAUGUAUGGAGUGGAUAACCGCUGAAAGCAUCUAAGUGAGAAGCCCACCUCAAGAUAAGUAUUCUC